rnacentral:rRNA from 1 species
UACGUAGGGUCCGAGCGUUGUCCGGAAUUACUGGGCGUAAAGAGCUCGUAGGUGGUUUGUCGCGUUGUUCGUGAAAACUCACAGCUUAACUGUGGGCGUGCGGGCGAUACGGGCAGACUUGAGUACUGCAGGGGAGACUGGAAUUCCUGGUGUAGCGGUGAAAUGCGCAGAUAUCAGGAGGAACACCGGUGGCGAAGGCGGAUCUCUGGGCCAUUACUGACGCUGAGGAGCGAAAGCGUGGGGAGCGAACAGG